rnacentral:lncRNA from 1 species
GAUAAGUCUUUUAAAAUAUUGAAUACGUUUUACCCAGGGUAACUAUUAUUCUUUUCAUUCAGCACUCACAACUGUAUUGUAAAAAGACACUGAAGUCUGCACAUUAUAGAUGAGGAAACUAAGAUGUCACAUGGUGACUUCUCCUCCAAACACACAGUUGGCAAAACGCAGAGUAGGACCUUGAACAUGGGUUCAUGGCUACAAGGACUAAGGGCUAUGGUUUUUGCACUGAACUACAUGGUUACCAGAGUCAGAAACAAAGUAAGUGCCAUAAUGUAUAUGUUUAUUGUCUGGGAACUGGCUAAGAAAAAUGAGUGAGGCUGACUCUCUUUUCGGACUCAGCCCGCCUGCACCCAGGUGAAAAAAG